AACGAACGCUGGCGGCAGGCCUAACACAUGCAAGUCGAGCGAGGACUUCGGUCCUAGCGGCGGACGGGUGAGUAACGCGUGGGAACGUGCCCUUUGCUUCGGAAUAGCCCUGGGAAACUGGGAGUAAUACCGGAUGAGCCCUUUGGGGGAAAGAUUUAUCGGCGAAGGAUCGGCCCGCGUUGGAUUAGGUAGUUGGUGGGGUAAUGGCCUACCAAGCCGACGAUCCAUAGCUGGUUUGAGAGGAUGAUCAGCCACACUGGGACUGAGACACGGCCCAGGCUCCUACGGGAAGCAGCAGUGGGGAAUCUUAGACAAUGGGGGAAACCCUGAUCUAGCCAUGCCGCGUGAGCGAUGAAGGCCUUAGGGUUGUAAAGCUCUUUCAGCUGGGAAGAUAAUGACGGUACCAGCAGAAGAAGCCCCGGCUAACUCCGUG
rnacentral:rRNA from 1 species